rnacentral:lncRNA from 1 species
UAGCAAGUCCCUUGCCAUCAAUGUGUUCGCAUCUGAUUUAAAUCUAAACAUUCUUGAGACCAAGAUAACAAGAGAGUGAUAGAAUUGGAGUCAUUCAUUACCUAACCAGUGAUCAAGUAGAUCUUAAUCCACCCAUCAGGCUUGUGUUCAGAAAUAUCUCCAUAAUCAUUUCAUCAAUUUGAAUCUCAAAAGGUGCCAUCUGGAUCAAUGCGCAAAUGGGUCACAGCGCCAGUAGGGGAAGAAUGGCGGCUGCUGCCAGUGGAGAUCGGUGUCUACAGAUCCUGUUCGCCUCCGCUCCUGUCGCUGCUCGUGACCGCGCUCCAACUCCUACUGCCACCCAGACGCCCAAAAAACACAGGGGGCUGCUUCCCGUCUCGAGCCUAGAGGCGACACUGGAAAGAAAGGCCACCUCAUUCCUGGCUUUCUGGAAAUCAUCACUGUCCCUUCCAUUCUCUUGCCCAUCAGCGAAUCUAAAAGGACUGAAUGAGGGCUUUCGUGGCACGUUGGGCGUCAGUUUCAUCAGCAUUAGAAUGAGAAGAACUUUAUUCUUCGGGGUGCUCGUUUCGGUCUCGGUGAUACCUUGACUCCUGUUAUUUGCCUCCUGGUUUAUUCCCCAAAUCUCUUUCCUUCAGUAACAACCGUGAACUCUUCUCUGGCUUUAUUUAUGGUCUUGGUUACUGCUCAUGUCUUGAUAUCCCCGAGUCAGUUGAAUUGAAACUAGAUCAGAAAUUCUCCUUCAGUAUGUUGCCACGGUGCUCAACUAAAUUUCAGUUUGUUCCGUUGAAAGAAGAGUUAUCCAGACUAGAAAGGGAACUGCCCACCGUAGCAUCCAGGUUGCCAAGGCCAGGGCAGCCUUGGGCCACAGGACGGCUUCAGUGCCCAUGGAGGGGUCAAGGGGCCAGAUGCAGUGAUGGACUCUUGAGGAGAGCAGCCUCCACUCACCACACCUGACUCUUGCCUCCUCCACAAGGAGACUUUGUGGAUGAAGUCACCACAGCAACCUGUCCCUUCUGGACUAAAACACCUUUGUGUCCACUGACUGUGUCUUACUAGCUUUUCUCUUUUGACAUUUUGUAUAAUAGUCCACACAAUGUGUUUGUAUGUAUGUGUACUUUUCCCGUCAUUUCCCAGACCACUAGACCAUGUUUUCUCAACCUCUUCUGGCCUAGAACUAAAGAGCUAAAUCAGCUUAAGUUUUAUAGUAAAACAUGAUCCCUG